rnacentral:rRNA from 1 species
UACAGAGGGUGCAAGCGUUGUUCGGAAUUAUUGGGCGUAAAGCGCGUGUAGGCGGCUUUGCAAGUCGGGUGUGAAAUCCCUCAGCUUAACUGAGGAAGUGCGCCCGAAACUGCAGAGCUUGAGUACCGGAGAGGAUGGCGGAAUUCCCCAAGUAGAGGUGAAAUUCGUAGAUAUGGGGAGGAACACCGGUGGCGAAGGCGGCCAUCUGGACGGAUACUGACGCUGAGACGCGAAAGCGUGGGUAGCAAACAGG